CUCUCUGUAAAUCUUAGAGGAAAAGGGAAACAGGCAGAUGGGGCCAGAUUUUAAGAAGGGGGUUUUACACUGGAUUUUGUUUUAGGUCUAAAUUUUUAUUCUUUCAUCUUGUUAGGUAGACCCUAAGUCUAGCUGUUAUAUAUACAGUUUUUUUCUUUUUCUUCUUAAGUGCUAAACAAUUGUACUUCAAUGUCCUGAUUUUUAUAAUAUCUGUAAAUGUCUGAAGGCAAAUAAGAAGGGGUCUGAGUGGACUUUGUUCUAAUUUCUGUUUUUUCAUCUUAUUAAGGGAGUCUUAAUGGCUAGCCAUUAUACCAACAUGUGAGCUCUCUAAAAAUUUUUUCCAGUUUAGAAGUUUUUCCAAUGCAAAGGAUCCAUCAGCUGGCCAUUGACAAGUAAGUUCUUAAUAGCAACUCAACCCAAUAAGCCUUUUUAUGGCUUAACUAUGGAUGCAAGAGGUGUCCCCAAAGGAGAAUGGGAAGGAUGAAGCCCUCCCAAGAUCCAAGAAGUUUACUCCCAAAGAUAGUCUUAAGACAGAAGGACCUCUUAUGACAAACUCCCUUGAGAGCUGGCACACUUGGACAAAGAGACUCAGAACCCCAAUCUAUUUGAUUGGCUACCAGUGCACCCUGGUAAAUGCACCUUCUGGAUUGGCAGAGACCAGAGAGAAUUUUCUCACUGGUCAAAAAGCCAACCUCUCGGGACAUAUAACGAGGAAAGAAAACCUCAUACUGUGAGCCGGUUCAAACAGGGAAACCCUUCCAGACAGCAAAAGCCGUGAGCUGACUUUGCCUAUGGAAUUUCCUUCUAAGGACAAAUGACACAAUAGAAAAGCAGUGACCAUCUCUGGGAGGAAAUGGAUCAAGAAUACUCUACCAAAUUUACCAGAGUUGCUUAAGUUCAAGAAACCACUUUUACAAAUAUUUUCUCCUAAUGUAAAUUUAGGAAAGAGAAAAAAAAGACUAUUACCACUGUUACUUCCAAAAGACCCUGGAGCAGGCAGAGAUCCAGGAGCCUGCCAGUGCUUGCCAGAUGUCCCAAGAUCUCUCAGCUACAGCAGCCUCAGAGGCAGCAGAGUCCAUCCAGAGAACUUUAUCCUGCUGACCACUCCAAAUGUGUGGAAGGAAGGAAUUUUCCUUUACUUCCUAGGUUCUUCUGGCUGGUCUAAGAAUUAAACUGAGACAAAUUAAUAGGAGAAAAUCAAAUUUAACUGCAUACAUACAGGAAGCCCACAUACACAAAAGGGUGAGAGACCCCCACAUACAUGAGAGGUUGAGACAAAAAGGUAAAAUGAGGCAUAUAUGCCAUCUUGACCUAAGGAAUGGGAUAGGGGCCUGAGGCUUCUGAGGCGAGAAGGGUAAUUCACAGGAUGAUAAGAAGAGCAGAUGUUUAGUAAUUAGAGGUUUGCCCUGCCAUACAAAUAGGUCAUAAAAAUUUACUUCUGGUAAUAACUCAAUUUGGGCAAAGCCCCAAUUUAAAUUCUUGAAAGGAGAGGUAAAAGUUUCUUGAGCCUGCAGGGUCUUGAUUGCCAUUAGCUCAAAAUAUUUUAUGUGCCAAAGUAUCACAUCCUGGGGAAGCCUGUUCUGAAGGCCUUCAGUGCUAAGGAGGCUGAGGGAGGCAGAGGCCAACGAAGCAUGUUGAAACCACCCAGGAAAAAAGCAGGAACUGGGCACAGAAGACCAGGGGCAAGGCUCCAGAGAUAAAGAGGGACAUUCAGGUGCUUUAUAGAUGACAGUGACAAAGAAGCUUUCCCCAAUAUUGCUUUGCUCUGUAAAAACAUCAAAUGCUAACUUCUCAUUUCACCUGGAUUAUUCCCAUGAAGCAGGUGAAGCAAAUUUCUAUCAGGGCAGAAUCUUGGCCAGUGUCCAGGGGAAGGAGCCUGCCCUCUCUGCCUCCCUUAGCCCUACGUGCAAAGGAGACCAAAUCCUCUGGAAAUACAAGCACAUGCAACUUCCGUAGUCCUAAAAUUUAAUGGACUUGCUACCGGUCACAUUGAGAAAGGAGGGAAAUUGAGCAGGAAUAGUAGACUCACACGACAUUUCUAACAGGGCUGAUUUCUCUCCACUGUAUCCUGCUCUUAGCCCAGUAUAUCCACCUUACCACCACCCUCCCCCCCCACACACACAAAAAAAAGCCUAGCUGUUUUUUCUUUAGCAAACCAAACAAAGCCAGGCACUCAAUAAAUAUUUGUUGAAUGAAUGAAUAAAUCAACGCAUGGCUCACGCAUGAAAAGCUUCUCAAUAAUUCAAAAGCAAAACUAAAAAUCCUGUUGUGCUGUUGUGUUAAUGAACUCUGAACAGUUGGUUGUUUCUUGGCAACUGCAGUUUUCACAAGAAUGAGAUUAAAUGGCUUUUUACAUCCUGUGUUUGGAAACAGAACAGGAGGUUUUGCAGGAAGUAGGCUCAGUUUGAAUCCAGUUGAACAGGUAUAUUACUUUGUAUUGUGUGUUUUUCUUUAGACAAGGAGAAACCACUUUUCUUCUUUGUUAAAGAGAAUGUUUGAGCCCAAGGAAACACAAAAAGCAGUAGCAGCACUGGGUCUGUUACUUAGCUGUAUGGUUUUGAAAGAGUUCCUUUUCUGGAUCUAUUUCAGCAUUUAUAACCUCAGACUGGAUUAGUGUAUUUUAAAUUUAAUGAGGCACUAAUUUUUUUGAAAAUGUAAUGAAAUUUUAUCAAUGCUCUCCUCCAAAAACGUACAUACCCAAUUUUGCAUAUAAUUUCAGGGUAUUCAAAGUCCCCCAGACAUCCAUGAACUCCCCCAGAUUAGGAACAUCUGGACCAGAUGCUCUCUAAACUCUUCUGGGCUCUAAGAUUGGUUCCACAAAUUUCUAACAGUAAAAAAAAAAAACCCCAAAAAACAAAAAAAAAGUAAACCACUUACACUAUGGUUUUCAUUCUAAAAUCAACUAUAUUGUAAAAGAUUCCUGAUUGGAGCAAGAGACUUUUCAAGCCACAGGUUCUUCUUUAAAAUGUGGCAGAUAUGUAAGCAGAUAAAAGUGUGACAAUCUGGUAGUAUGUGCUGAAUAUAGUAAUUAUCCUUUUAUAGUGUUAAGUUAAAAUUCACUUCAAAACACAAUUACAAGAGUACUGAUUCUUCUCAAACAGCAGGUGAGCCUUCCUUGGGAUAAAGACUCAGGGCACCAGGGACAUUCUGGAAGCAAAAGAAUGCAUAAAGCAUGUGAUUUAGGAAAGCAGUUUUAUUCAAAGUUUUUUUUUCUCUUUGGAUGAGAGAAUAUUACCUUCACAUUAAAAUACACAGAUACGUCAUGGAGAAAACUUCAAAAAGUCCUAUUUUUUUUAAGAUAAAAUAUGACAGUUCAAAAAAAUGUCCUGCUUACUCAUUCUUUGUCCCAUGCCCAGGGGACACCCACUCCAGCAAUUCUCACUCCUUUGACCUGAGUGGUUCUCUGGUGGAAAUAGUUAAGAAGCAGUAAAUAGGAAAAUAAUUUAAAUAGUAUAAUAACUUGUGACUUUUCACACAAUAAGGAAGAUAACUACCACAAAAGGAAGGAAUUACCAUAAAACAGUGAAGAACUACAUGGGUUUCCAGGAGACUGAGGAUUAGUUUGACUUCAGCGUUUCACUGCCCCGGGAGUGCUUACACGUGCGGUCGCCAAAGUAAGGUACACACGAGACAAGGCCUUCCUUGUGCUGCAAUGACAACCUGAGCAUCCAAAAUAUAAUCAUUUCUACAAGACCCAAACCAACAUCAAUUAAAACAAACCUGAAUUAAACAGGUACUGACAAUUCAGAACACCAGAGAACAAACGUUCCCAGAAAUAAAUGGGUCUUUAAGUGCUACAGGAUUCUAUUAUAGCUCAAAUGGGGGUUGAAGGACGCACAUCAACGUAUGCAUUAACCUCCUGCUUGUCAAACUGACCUACUGUGGCAUUUAUGAGACUAAUUACAUGCUUCAGGAUUUACUCUGUUGGAAGGUUGUACAAAGCUGUCACUUCUAACACAUCUCCGAAUCUCCAAAUCUUACAAAAAUUUGUAUUUCAUGACUUCAAAUCCACUUGUUGAUAAGGACAAAUAAAAGUUGUUCUUAGAAGCAAAGUUGUUUUUGACACGAGUGAUGUAAGCUGUAUCAGCAUAUCAUCUCAUCUGUCGUCACUGAUAAUACCCAGUAGCUGAGCUGAUGACAAACACUGGGGGUGGGGGGGGGCCGAAUAUCAAUAAGAACAUGUGGAGAAGGAAUUACGGCAAAUGGACGUUUAGACUAUAAAUAAAAGUUUGUGAGGACUACUCAGUUUGCGUCGGGCAAGGUGACUCCUUGCUGACCUAAACAGUCGUGUACCACGUAUUGAGGUGUUGGUCAACCCACGGACCACAAAUACAACGGUGGCCACAUAAAAUUAGUCCCAUAUAGCCUGGGUGUGUAGUAGGCUGUACCAUAUAAGUUUGUGUAAGUGCACUCUAUACUGUUUGCACAACAAAAUCACCUAACAACGCAUUUCUGAGGACUUACCCCUGUUAAGUAAGCGGAAGCAAUGUGUGACUGCCAGCUCUCCGAAACCCCUGGGGCAUGAGCUCCUGCCAUGGUAAAGGCCACUCUAAGCAGCAGUGGCAAAAGCCCUCGAGAAAAUCUUGUGCUGCCAACAUCCGAGCGGUAGUCCCCUAGCAAGCGGCUCCAGCAACAGAGGCCUUUUCACUUUCCUUUUGAGGCGGCAGCAGGACGCCAGCUCUCGGUUAGCCAAGCCAUCUCUCUUGAGCGCCUACCGUAUAAAAAGGUACACCUCAGCCGCACUUAUUUCUGUCAUCUCUCCUUGCCUGGAACAAUAACAUGAUUCAUCUAUCACUGGAGUACGUUAUGUUAUGCUAUUAUUUUUAUUGGCUUAUUAAGAGACAUCUUAAUCUGCAUGCUACUGGUUUGUGAAACGACUAUAAAUCCCACAGCGAACUUGUGUUAAAAACUGGCAAAUACAAUCUCAGUCUCUGAGCAUAAUUUCGCGCCCCCCCAAACAAAACAAAACCUCAAUAACAAAUUAAGGCUAUCUUUACUUUUAUUAACGUUUGACUUCGCACUUAAGCUGGCGAGGUGGUGAAACGAAAAAAAAAAGUGAGUUUUCCUUCCGGAACGCUCCCCAAGGAUGAGUAAAAAAAAAGGUAAAGUAAAUUGCCAGUAGUCGAACAAGUAAAGGCAAGCCAAGGAUGAGCGUUUCUUCCUCAGAUACUGUCUUUACAUCCCUCAAGCCAGAGUCCUCCUCCCCCGCCUGGGUGUGCCAUAACGCUGCCUAACUUGACCCCACAGUUAGACAACCGAACCAAGCUGGAAGGAAAGGGGUGCAGGGCGGGAUUCUCCGGCCCCGGGCAGGCAGUCACCCGGGAAGCGGACUUCCAGGGACCCGACUUCGCCACCGUCCCCGUAACCGGGACCCCAAGUGCCACCCCUCCUUGCCCUGUUAGGAGAGAAGGUGAGAGAGAAAGCCUCAUUCCACUGCUUCCUGCACAAAAAGGAAACCUAACUCCUGUCCCCAGCAUCACAGCUCACAAUAAAUGGGCGGUAACACUUUUUCCCCGCACAGCAUCGCCACGGUCAGCCUCACCGACUCCCGCCCAGGCCGGAACCAGGCCCGCCCCUUCUUUGGACGUCACGGAAACGGGGGGCUUCCGCAGAGGAUGUCCCGCCCCACUCCCCUCAGAAGCGCCGAGCUCACAGCUUCCUAGAAUAUGCCUGCGAGACCCCCAUUCUUUUCUUCCUUGCAAUGAGAACCUUCUCAUGUGGAGUUCUUCCUUAUUCUCUUCAUGGAAGUUCCGCGUGAUCUGCGAGCGCUGACACCCUUUCCACAGAUGCAGGCGCCUAAGAGGCAGCCCUGCGGUCUUGACGUAAAUUUGAGCGCCGGCGUAGGAAGGCCCUCCCCCCCCCCAACCUUCCUCUUGCAUCCGCUUUCGUCAUUUUUCUGCGUUUGGCCGGGCUCGCGGAAGAGGCACGUGCGCUGCUGAAUGGAGCUGGUAGCCGGUUGCUACGAGCAGGUCCUUUUUGGGUUCGCUGUACACCCAGAACCCAAGGCGAGUGAAGACCACGAGCAGAAAUGGACACCUGUGGCUGACUUCACUCACCACGCCCACACUGCCUCCUUGUCAGCGGUGGCUGUAAAUAGUCGUUUUGUAGUCACUGGGAGCAAAGAUGAAACAAUUCACAUUUAUGACAUGAAAAAGAAGAUAGACCAUGGGGCUCUAGUACAUCACAAUGAAGCUGGGCUUUGAGUGAUUUCAACAUACAUUCGU
rnacentral:lncRNA from 1 species